rnacentral:rRNA from 1 species
GACGAACGCUGGCGGCGUGCCUAAUACAUGCAAGUCGAACGAGUGGCGGACGGGUGAGUAAUGUCUGGGAAACUGCCCGAUGGAGGGGGACAACUAGUGGAAACGGUAGCUAAUACCGCAUACCAUCGGAUGUGCCCAGCUGGGUUUAGUUAGUGGGUGGGGUAACGGCUCACCUAGGCGACGAUCCCUAGCUGGUCGGAGGGGAUGACAAGCCACAUGGGAACUGAGACACGGUCCAGAAUCCUACGUGAGGCAGCAGUGGGGAAUAUUGCACAAUGGGCGCAAGCCUGAUGCAGCCAUGCCGCGUGUAUGAAGAAGUCCUUCGGGUUGUAAAGUACUUUCAGCGAGGAGGCGUUACUCGCAGAAGAAGCACCGGCUAACUCCGUGCCAGCAGCCGCGGUAUAC